GAAAAAGGAGCUCAAAUUGCAUAUCAUAAAUAAACAAAGUGCAAUAUCUCACACACAAAUUCACACUUGUACAAACAUUCUUUUUCUUGGGGAUUGAAAUUGUCGGGAUUAGAGCCCUUGACUAACUACAUUAUGAGGUAGGCAUUUCACCACUUACCUAUUAGCCAAUGUCCAGACUUUUCAUUUUAUAGUUACCAGAAAUGUGAACUUUAGCUGCCAAGUUCACACCUUCAUAAACAAAUAGUCACCCCUGAAUCAGAACUGACACGGCCAAAUAUAUCAGAUACCAUUACCAAAAUAAUUCUUCAGAGCAGGUAUAGAUUUGAUCUUCCCAUCAUCUGCAAAACGGCGAUUAAGAUAGUCACUGUAAUCAAAAGGCUUAUACAGCAAGGGGUGGUCUUCGUCCACUAGCUCUUCCAAGGCUUUUAUUAUGUAGCCUUCCUUUGGGACUGAAAAGAACGCAGCAGAGUACCUUGUCUUGCUUCCACUCAGCAUAACUCGAUGGUAUGGGCUAUACAGUCGACCAUUUGUCCAAGCAUUGAAAGAUUCCCCGAUUAUGAUUAAAAAAGAAUCUGGUGAAAGCUUCACAGGGAUCCAUUCUCCAUCUUUGGUUUGUAUCUCUAACCCAUCCACCUCAUUUUGGUACAGUAUGCUUGUUAUGUUCUUGUCUGUGUGAGCCAUGAGCCCUGUCUUUUUCUCUGUAGUUUGGGGUGCCUCAUAUUUGGCGACCCUGAGAAGAUUGUAUGUUGAGUUUAUAUGCUCAUCCAAGUAUUUCUCAACACCCAAGCUUUCCACAAUCAUCCUCCUUACUAUUUGCCCUAAUUCCAGCACUGGUUCAGAGAAUAAAUGCACAGUUUUGCUGCCAAAAGAAAUGAACGAGUGUAUGGCUUAGUCAACUUAACAUGAACAUGAACAUGAACAUUAUAUUUUGUAAGUAAACCGGCCGGCAGCAAGAAAGAAAGGCACAGAGAAACUCACAAACCUGAUUUUUAUGUUCCCUUCAGGCCACAAGACAUUGGUGAAGUUUUCGACCAUAUCGUAGAUACUAGGUUCAACUAUGCACAGGCCCUCAUAGAUUGAUGACCUUGCUGAAGUUGAUCCAAGAUAACCAUGAUAUGGUUUUUCAGAAACAUUGCGCCGUUUCGUUUCCAAAGGCAAUUGCAACAUCUCUUCCAUUGCUCCAUUCAUUGCGUUUCGAAGGUCUUGAGGAAUUUUGUUGAACAAAGCCUGGAAGCAACCAAACUCCG
rnacentral:misc_RNA from 1 species